AACUGUAUCACCAUUGCCGCGCCGAUGCGCAGCAAAGAGUACCGAGCUAAUAGUACUAUCGGAUCUCGCGGGAUUGUUCGACGAUAAGCUCUCGCCGAAUUGAAUCUCGUCACUUGAUUAUACGGGACGACGAAGAGAAAAAAAUUAAUUGAUUCAGACUGACUUGCGAUCGAUUCUCGCUUUGGAACGACACUCUGGAAAACAAGCUCAAUCGAGAGCAGCAACUUUCCCGAGCUGUUAAAAAUUUUAAGAAGAAUUGCUGAAGCUGCUGCGUAGGGUGCUUUAAUUGCUGUGUAGAGUACAAAAUAUCUGAUAAAAUGUUACUUAUUGUCACCUUUAUGGUCUUCUAUAUUUAUUGCCGUUGCAAUUUGUUGCAGAUACAAAUUGAUAUUAUUAAUAGCUGCGGUAUAAAGUUACCGAUACUGUAUUCAUUUAUAUAAUAAAUAACGUUCCUAUUCCUAUCGUCGAGACGUUAUACUCCACGCGUAAAAGGUACGCCAGAGAGGAUUUUUGCUGUCGGAGAAAGAUAUACCCGUCUUCAUAGGACACGUAAUUUUGACUCGACGUCCGCAAUUUCGACAUCUCCUUGAGCGAUUUACGCCGAGUGCGAAAACAUCGAGCGAGUUAAAAUAUCCUAAUGCUAUUUAUUCCGGGCCGCGGUGUAAACAUCGGCGCGGUAAAUACUGGCGGAAAUAGCAUCGUAUUCGCCGCGUUCGGAAACGAAUCGCGAGUGUCGCCGAUCAUAUGAUUCAUUUGCGCGUGAUUUGUUUACUGUGGAAAUUCCAUCCGGAUGGAUGCCGAUGUUCGCGAUGCUAUUAUCUGAGACACCGAGUCUGCCACGAGCUGUCAUCAUUGUCAGCUCGUAAGAGACGUCACUCGACACCGCUUGUUGCCCGUGUCAUUUAUCACGAGAGCUAUCCCGACUAAAUCUUGGCACGCACGUCGUAGUAAGAGCGAAAGAGUUUCAUUCAUAAAGCUCCGCUCGAGCGUUUCUGAAGAUCGCGACUGGCUGCGGAGUUCGCCGAUGUUUAGGGAAGUGGUUUGAGAGAAAAUUGUGUUCUGACUUGCAUCGUAACACUCGUAAAAGUGAAUUGAGAAGAUCAAAAGGGAUAAAGUUCCGUAAAGUAGGUACGUACCCCCGAUUUUUUCGAAACUCAGAUAUUCCUACGUAUUUUGACGCGCCGAUUACGAGUAUCGUAGUGAAAAUGAAAAGUAUUUCAAUUGACUGAAUUACCGAAGAAUGUUUUAAUACGCAAUGACGUGAAAACUGAUUGUCUCGAACAAUAGCUCGGGGCAUUUCUUUAAGGAUUCGAGAACAUGAUAUAAGUCAAAUCUUCUUUAUAUUGUAUAUUCGGAGAAGAGAAAAUAGGUACGAUACAAAUGUCCCAUGAAAUGCUCAACACGUACAAAUCGCUGUAUCGUCUACCUGUUUGCUUCUGUUCCAAAACGACUGAAUGGCUUGCUGGCAUGUCGAAGAAAGAGUCCCGUACGUUCUGCCAGACCCUUGCUCC